rnacentral:rRNA from 1 species
AUUGAACGCUGGCGGCAUGCCUUACACAUGCAAGUCGAACGGUAACAGGUCUUCGGAUGCUGACGAGUGGCGAACGGGUGAGUAAUACAUCGGAACGUGCCCAGACGUGGGGGAUAACGAGGCGAAAGCUUUGCUAAUACCGCAUACGAUCUAAGGAUGAAAGCAGGGGACCGCAAGGCCUUGCGCGGUUGGAGCGGCCGAUGGCAGAUUAGGUAGUUGGUGGGAUAAAAGCUUACCAAGCCGACGAUCUGUAGCUGGUCUGAGAGGACGACCAGCCACACUGGGACUGAGACACGGCCCAGACUCCUACGGGAGGCAGCAGUGGGGAAUUUUGGACAAUGGGCGAAAGCCUGAUCCAGCAAUGCCGCGUGCAGGAUGAAGGCCUUCGGGUUGUAAACUGCUUUUGUACGGAACGAAAAGGCUCUGGCUAAUACCUGGGGCGCAUGACGGUACCGUAAGAAUAAGCACCGGCUAACUACGUG